GAGCUAAUACAUGCAAAUAAAUCCCAACCUUGCGGAAGGGAUGAUCUUGUUAGUCUGCAAAACCAUGCCCGGUUCGACAUCAGUCGUUCCGUAGCUUUUGUGAUGAACCUGAACAAUAUACGUUGAUCGCAUGGCCCUGGAGCCUGGCGACGCAUCAUUCAAAUGCCUGCUCUAUCAACUAUGAUGGUCGGCUAUACGCCUACCAUGGUGUUGACGGGUGACGGGGAAUCAGGGUUCGAUUCCGGAGAGGGAGCCUGAGAAAUAGCUACCACAUCCAAGGAAGGCAGCAGGCGCGCAAAUUACCCACUCCCAGCAAGGGGAGGUAGUGACGAAGCAUAACGAUACGGGACUCCCAUCCGAGGCCCCGUGAUUGGAUUGAGUUCGGUACAGAGAACCGAUACAAAUAUCAAUCGGAGGGCAAGCCUGGUGCCAGCAGCCGCGGUAAUUCCAGCUCCAAUAGCAUAUGCUAAUGUUGUUGCGGUUAAAAAGCUCGUAGUCUGAGUUGUGUCCAGCGCUGCCGGUCCGCAGCAUGCCUGUGUUGACUGUGUAUGUCGUCUGGACGUCCUUGCCGGACGCGGAAGGAAGCCGAACGAGGCCGCUCUUGUGGUGCCCUUGAGCUCCCUUGAGCGGUUUCUUAGGCGACCCCGCACAUGAGGUCCCGACCUGGUGCUCUUAAUCGAGUGCCUAGGAGGGCCGGCACUCUUACUUUGAACAAACUCGAGUGCUCAAAGCUGGCCCUUUGGCCUAGUCGCUGUGUGCAUGGAAUAAUGGAAUAGGACUUCGGUUCUAUUUGGUUGGUUCUACGAACCGAGGUAAUGAUCAAAAGGAGCAGUUGGGGGCAUUCGUAUUGCGACGUUAGAGGUGAAAUUCUUGGAUCGUCGCAGGACGGACAAAAGCGAAAGCAUUUGCCAAGGAUGUUUUCAUUGAUCAAGAGCGAAAGUUGGAGGAUCGAAGGCGAUCAGAUACCGCCCUAGUUCUAACCAUAAAUUAUGCCAACCAGCUAUGCGCCGAAGUCGCGUUUGACUCGGCGUGGAGCUUCCGGGAAACCAGAGUUUUCAGGUUCCGGGGGAAGUAUGGUUGCAAAGCUGAAACUUAAAGGAAUUGACGGAAGGGCACCACAAGGAGUGGAGCCUGCGGCUUAAUUUGACUCAACACGGGGAAACUUACCAGGGCAGGACAUACGAAGGAUUGACAGAUUGAAGAUCUUUCUUGAUUGUGUGCAUGGUGGUGCAUGGCCGUUCCUAGUUCGUGGGGUGGCUUGUCUAGUUAAUUCUGAUAACGAGCGAGAUUCUAACUGCUAAAUAGACCAAUGAGAUCCCUUCGGGGCUAUCUGAGAAUGAAUCUUCUUAGUAGGAUUUUUGGCCUAGAGCCAAAUGAGAAUAGAACCAUAACAGGUCUGUGAUGCCCUUAGAUGUCCUGGGCUGCACGCGUGCUACAAUGAAAGAAGCAGCGUGAAAAAUCCUAGUCCGAGAGGUCCUGGUAAUCAGAUGAAAUUCUUUCAUGCAGGGGAUAGGGGCUUGCAAUUAGCCC
rnacentral:rRNA from 1 species